rnacentral:rRNA from 1 species
CCUACGGGAGGCAGCAGUGAGGAAUAUUGGUCAAUGGACGAGAGUCUGAACCAGCCAAGUAGCGUGAAGGAUGACUGCCCUAUGGGUUGUAAACUUCUUUUAUAUGGGAAUAAAAUGUUCCACGUGUGGGAUUUUGUAUGUACCAUAUGAAUAAGGAUCGGCUAACGCCGUGCCAGCAGCCGCGGUAAUACGGAGGAUCCGAGCGUUAUCCGGAUUUAUUGGGUUUAAAGGGAGCGUAGGUGGAUUGUUAAGUCAGUUGUGAAAGUUUGCGGCUCAACCGUAAAAUUGCAGUUGAAACUGGCAGUCUUGAGCACAGUAGAGGUGGGCGGAAUUCGUGGUGUAGCGGUGAAAUGCUUAGAUAUCACGAAGAACUCCGAUUGCGAAGGCAGUUCACUGGACUGCAACUGACACUGAGGCUCGAAAGUGUGGGUAUCAAACAGGAUUAGAUACCCUUGUAGUC